UACGUAGGGGGCAAGCGUUGUCCGGAAUUAUUGGGCGUAAAGAGCGCGUAGGCGGUCCGAUAAGUCGGCUGUGAAAGUCAGGGGCUCAACCCUUGGAAGCCGGCCGAUACUGUCGGACUAGAGUCCGGAAGAGGCGAGUGGAAUUCCUGGUGUAGCGGUGAAAUGCGCAGAUAUCAGGAGGAACACCGGUGGCGAAGGCGGUGGUCUGGGCCGGCAGCUGACGCUGAGAAGCGAAAGCGUGGGGAGCAAAAGGGAUUGAG
rnacentral:rRNA from 1 species